rnacentral:rRNA from 1 species
CGCCUGUUUACCAAAAACAUGGCUUCGUGUUAGUACUAAGAUACGAAGUCGGACCUGCCCAGUGAGUUUUAAACGGCCGCGGUACUCUGACCGUGCAAAGGUAGCAUAAUCAUUUGCCUUAUAAUUGAAGGCUGGAAUGAAUGGUUUGACGAGAAUACACCUGUCUCUUUCUGAUUUCCUAGAAUUUUAUUUCUGGAUGAAAAAGUCCAGAUAGAAUUAAAAGACAAGAAGACCCUAUCGAGCUUUAGAUAAAUUAGUGGAGUAAGUAAAAUCAAUUCUAGAAAAAGAAAAGCUGCUAAACACUUUGGUUGGGGCAACCGAGGAGUAAAUGAAGCCUCCUUUAAAAUAAAUAACAGACUUGUGCUGAUCCAAAUUUUUUGAUCAAAGGAAUUAGUUACCGUAGGGAUAACAGCAUAAUCUUUUUUGAGAGCUCAUAUCGAAAAAAAGGUUUGUGACCUCGAUGUUGGACCAGAAUGUCCUAAAGAUGCAGAAGUCUUUAAGGGUUGGUCUGUUCGACCAUUAAAAUUCUACGUGAUCUGAGUUCAGACCGG